rnacentral:rRNA from 1 species
UACGUAGGGAGCAAGCGUUAUCCGGAUUUAUUGGGUGUAAAGGGUGCGUAGACGGGAAAUUAAGUUGGUUGUGAAAUCCCUCGGCUUAACUGAGGAACUGCAACCAAAACUGAUUUUCUUGAGUGUUGGAGAGGAAAGUGGAAUUCCUAGUGUAGCGGUGAAAUGCGUAGAUAUUAGGAAGAACACCGGUGGCGAAGGCGACUUUCUGGACAAUAACUGACGUUGAGGCACGAAAGUGUGGGGAGCAAAC